ensembl:lncRNA
AAACCCGGGGCAUGAGCGAAUGAGCAAGGGGCCUGCUGGGCAGGAGCUGUUGUCCCCUGCCCCACCCCACCCCACUGCCGAGCCAUCGCCACUCAGGGGAGGCUCAGUUUGCUGGAGUCGAAGCUGACUGGCUAGGGCAGGAGACAUCACAGCCAAGUGCUAGUGCAUAGAAACUACGCGAAAGUCAGGCCAGGUGGCCCCCACCCAGAACCUUCCCGGCGCAGGUGGACCUGAGAUGAGCCGCGGGCUGCCUGCACCUGGGACUCGAAACUGCGCCCUCUCCUCAGCCCUGGGCUCCUGCCCUACGGCUGCUGGGCUUCCCCACUGCUCCCAAGCUGUGGCGGCCAUGCUUCUGCCCCUGUCCUUCCCUCUGCCAGGGACUCUCCUCACCCGGUGCUGCCUGGCUGGUUCCUGCUCAGCCUCUGCCCAAACAUCCCCUUCUCAGAGGCCUUCCCUGACCACCUGUCCAAAGCAGGUCCCAUGGAGCCCAGGAGGUGGCAGGUGGGGACUGGCUGCCUCGGCCCAGGCCUCUUUGCUCUGCACACUCUCUGGGCAACGCAGGCGGCCCACCAGCCCCCUGAGCCUCAGGGCCCUCAUCUGCUUGUGGUGGUGGAGCUGAAGCACUGGGACUGGGGCAGGACAAAGGUGGCUGCCCCGCUCUGGCUCACCAGGCCACUUGUGAACCUCACUCAAGCAGCCACGGAUAUGAAUUCUAACUCGUGAAGUGAGGUCCCCUGGAAGGGCUGGAGGCGGCUCAGCGCUGCAGCCAACCACACAGUUCGUCUUUGGAUCCAACCAC